AGGCACAGAGGAAGCCGCAGCACCUAGCUCGGCUGCAAGGCCGAAAAGAAAUAUUUUAUCCUCUCUUCCCCUUUCCUGUCUUUUUCCUCAUUGAAUCUUUUCUUUUUCCUUCACAUCAACCAAAAUCCUUUAAGCAGGAAAACAUCUUACAAUAACGAAGUUUACAGAUAAGCAAACAAACCUGAGAGUUAAUUCCUAGAAAACUGUCCCAAUAGAAGUGCUUUAUGCUGAAACAAAGGGAUGCCACAUAGGGAGUACAAGUACCAGGAGGGGCUCAAAGUGCAGCUGGAAGGGGAGAUAUAUUGUUGGCAAAGAAUUUCUCCCAUUCCAUAUGCCGACUAUUCAAUCUGUUUUUACUUUGCUGUGCAGAAAUCUUUUAAAUUCCCAGAAGAGGACACUGAAUUUCCUGUACUAAAGCUACAGAUGGUUGUGAGCCACCAUGCUGGGAACCAAACCUGGGCCUUCUGGAAGAGCAGCUAGUCCUCAUCACCACAGAGCAUCCUACCUGUCCCUCUUGGAAGUAUUCCCUUUAGCAUCCUUUACACUUAUUGCCCCAACUAGGACGACGUCAGACGGCACGCUGAAGGUCAAUGCAGAACAUGGAUAACCUUGUCUUCUUCCAUGAAUUUUGUCUUCUCCAAUUCAGAAUUAUUUUGGCUAUUGGUCUGUUUCUUCUGUCCUCAUUUCUGUCUGG